GAACGCUGGCGGCAGGCCUAACACAUGCAAGUCGAACGGUAACAGGAAGCAGCUUGCUGCUUCGCUGACGAGUGGCGGACGGGUGAGUAAUGUCUGGGAAGCUGCCUGAUGGAGGGGAUAACUACUGGAAACGGUAGCUAAUACCGCAUAAUGUCGCAAGACCAAAGAGGGGGACCUUCGGGCCUCUUGCCAUCGGAUGUGCCCAGAUGGGAUUAGCUUGUUGGUGGGUAACGGCUCACCAAGGCGACGAUCCCUAAGCUGGUCUGAGAGGAUGACCAGCCACACUGGAACUGAGACACGGUCCAGACUCCUACGGGAGGCAGCAGUGGGGAAUAUUGCACAAUGGGCGCAAGCCUGAUGCAGCCAUGCCGCGUGUAUGAAGAAGGCCUUCGGGUUGUAAAGUACUUUCAGCGGGGAGGAAGGGAGUAAAGUUAAUACCUUUGCUCAUUGACGUUACCCGCAGAAGAAGCACCGGCUAACUCCGUG
rnacentral:rRNA from 1 species